rnacentral:rRNA from 1 species
AGAGCUAAUACAUGCAAACAGAGUCCCGACCGUAAAUGGAAGGGACGCUUUUAUUAGAUCAAAACCAAUCGACGUCCGUCGGCUCUCGGGCCGACGGCGCCGUACUCCUUGGUGACUCUGAAUAACUUUUGGCAGAUCGCACGGUCUUCGAACCGGCGACGCAUCCUUCAAAUGUCUGCCUUAUCAACUGUCGAUGGUAGGUUCUGCGCCUACCAUGGUUGUAACGGGUAACGGGGAAUCAGGGUUCGAUUCCGGAGAGGGAGCCUGAGAAACGGCUACCACAUCCAAGGAAGGCAGCAGGCGCGCAAAUUACCCACUCCCGG